ensembl:lncRNA
AUCGCGGAGUGAUUUAUUAUUAGCUGUGAAAAGUCCGAGUUGGGAUGUCCUGGGAUAUUCCAACUCAUGGAACGUCUCUCGUCCAAUCAGAAACAGCUAAAUAAUUUGAUAGAACCCAAUUGUUUUAUAAUGGACACUAAUGAGACUUACACCACCUAAUUACAUCUCUGCUGUGAUUCGGCCAGACUUACACCACCUAAUUACAUCUCUGCUGUGAUUGGACGAGACUUACACCACCUAAUUACAUCUGUGCUGUGAUUGGACGACUGAGACUUACACCACCUAAUUACAUCUCUGGGCUGGUCUGUAGAAUGUUGAGGUGGUCUGUAGAAUGUUGAGGUGGUCUGUAGUAGACUGAUGUGGUCUGUAGAAUGUUGAGGUGGUCUGUAGAAUGUUGUGGUGGUCUGUAGUAGGCUGAGGUGGUCUGUAGAAUGUUGAGGUGGUCUGUAGAAUGUUGAGGUGGUCUGUAGUACACUGAGGUGGUCUGUAGAAUGUUGAGGUGGUCUGUAGAAUGUUGUGGUGGUCUGUAGUGGGCUGAGGUGGUCUGUAGUGGUCUGUGGUGGUCUGUGGGGCUGAAUAGAGUGGCAUGUUGCACAGGUUACAGUUUUUCUCGAUUGCUUUGGCACAUUUUUCCAUUCACUGUUUAC